GCCGGAAUAGCUCAGUCGGUAGAGCAACUGAUUCGUAAUCAGUAGGUCGGAGGUUCGAUUCCUCUUUCCGGCA
rfam:Alcanivorax sp. Nap_24 scaffold_78, whole genome shotgun sequence.